rnacentral:rRNA from 1 species
AAGCGGUGGAGCAUGUGGCUUAAUUCGAGGCUACGCGAAGACCUUAUCCUGGGCUUGACAUGUGCGAAAGCACUAGGAAGUAGGGGGCGGAAACGUUCCCCCAACGGUAUCCAGUCCGGAACCUAGUACAGGUGCUGCAUGGCUGUCGCCAGCUCGUGUCGUGAGAUGUCGGGUUAAGUCCCAUAACGAGCGAAACCCUUGCCUCCAGUUGCCAGCGAGUAAUGUCGGGGACUCUGGAGGGACUGCCGGUGUUAAACCGGAGGAAGGUGGGGAUG